rnacentral:rRNA from 1 species
UACGGGGGGGCAAGCGUUGUUCGGAAUUACUGGGCGUUAAGGGCUUGUAGGUGGCCAACUAAGUCAGACGUGAAAUCCCUCAGCUUAACUGGGGAACUGCGUCUGAUACUGGAUGGCUUGAGUUUGGGAGAGGGACGCGGAAUUCCAGGUGUAGCGGUGAAAUGCGUAGAUAUCGAGAGGAACACCUGCGGCGAAGGCGGGUUGCUGGGCUGAUACUGACGCUGAUGCGCGAAAGCCAGGGGAGCGAACGGG